ACACCCAGCUCCCCUGGCUCUAGCAGCACAGAAAUAUUGGCACAGGGAAAUGAGUCUGCCAAUAUUGGUUGUGCUGCUCCAGGCAGGGUGGUGA
rnacentral:pre_miRNA from 1 species